rnacentral:rRNA from 1 species
AAUGAACGCUGGCGGCGUGCUUAACACAUGCUAAGUCGAACGAGAAAGGUUUUCUUCGGUAAAACGAGUAAAGUGGCGCACGGGUGAGUAACGCGUGAAUAAUCUACCCCUGAAUUUGGGAUAACAGUUCGAAAGGGCUGCUAAUACCGGAUAACAUUGUCUUUUUUUACGGAUUAGACAAUCAAAGAGGGCCUCUCCUUGGAAGCUUUGUUUGGGGAUGAGUUCGCGUCCCAUUAGUUAGUUGGUGAGGUAACGGCUCACCAAGACAUCGAUGGGUAGCUGGUCUGAGAGGAUGAUCAGCCACACUGGAACUGACACACGGUCCAGACUCCUACGGGAGGCAGCAGUGAGGAAUUUUGCGCAAUGGGCGAAAGCCUGACGCAGCAACGCCGCGUGAGUGAUGAAGGCUCUUGGGUCGUAAAGCUCUGUCAAGUGGGAAGAAACCUCUUGGAGUUAAUACCUUCAAGAAUUGACGGUACCACUGAAGGAAGCACCGGCUAACUCCGUG